rnacentral:rRNA from 1 species
AUCAACUUUCGAUGGUAGGAUAGAGGCCUACCAUGGUGGUAACGGGUAACGGGGUGUUAGGGCACGACACCGGAGAGGGAGCCUGAGAAACGGCUACCACAUCCAAGGAUGGCAGCAGGCGCGCAAAUUACCCAAUCCCGACACGGGGAGGUAGUGACAAUAAAUAACAAUACGGGGUUCUUUAGGAUCUCGUAAUUGGAAUGAGUACAAUUUAAAUCUCUUAACGAGGAACAAUUGGAGGGCAAGUCUGGUGCCAGCAGCCGCGGUAAUUCCAGCUCCAAUAGCGUAUAUUAAAGUUGUUGCAGUUAAAAAGCUCGUAGUUGAAUUUCGGGGUUAGUAGGUUGGUCAUGCCUCUGGUAUGUACUGGUCUCACUGAUUCCUCCUUCCUGAUGAGCCGUAAUGCCAUUAAUUUGGUGUUGCGGGGAAUUUGGACUGUUACUUUGAAAAAAUUAGAGUGUUUAAAGCAAGCUAACGCUUGAAUACAUUAGCAUGGAAUAAUGAAAUAGGACGUUCGAUCCUAUUUUGUUGGUUUCUAGGAUUGACGUAAUGAUUAAUAGGGAUAGUUGGGGGCAUUAGUAUUCAAUUGUCAGAGGUGAAAUUCUUGGAUUUAUUGAAGACUAACUACUGCGAAAGCAUUUGCCAAGGAUGUUUUCAUUAAUCAAGAACGAAAGUUAGGGGAUCGAAGACGAACAGAUACCGUCGUAGUCUUAACCAUAAACUAUGCCGACUAGGGAUCGGAUGAUGUUAAUUUUUUAAUGACUCAUUCGGCGCCUUACGGGAAACCAAAGUGUUUGGGUUC